GAGCAAUCGAGCCGGGCCAGGAGGCAGGGCCGCCCUUCCCUUCCGGCCCGCGGCUUGGGGAUCGGGCCUGGAGGCCUCGGGGUCCCACUCUGGAAGGGGGCCCGCGCCGGUCCCUACGCAUCGCAAUCCCGCCCGCCCGCCACGCUGGCCAGGGCGCAGGUGCUGGCCCGCAGCCCCGCCCCACUAAGGCUGGAGUCCGCUCGAGCCCUGCCUCUCCAGGGGCGGGGCCGCCUGUCCCGCCCAUAAAUGGGCGGAGCCGACAAAUCCACGCCCCUCCAAGGGUGGCAUACAUCGUUACUCCGCCCCACCCGGAGGCGGAGUCAGUCUUGCCCGGCGCCAGGCCACGCUCCGCCCGCCGCCCUCAGAUCGCGCCACGAUCCAGGGUCCCGGCCUCCCGCAGGGCAAAGGCAGCUGGCGGUGUAGACGCGGGUAGCCUCGCCAUGAAGUCCCGCAGGGAUAAGCUACACAUCCCGGCCCUGACCCUCGAGUGAGUGCCGCGAGGCGUGGGGACCCGGGAGGACCCGGACACCGCCCUGCCCGCGUCCCAGCGCCGCCUCCCGGGAGCCCUCCCAGUGCCCUGGCGGUCGAUCCGGAUCGGGCCGCACGCGGGGCGCCGCCAGGUCAUGGCCGCCUCUCUCUUCGCAGUCUGUCCCCGAGCAGCCAGAGCCCAGCGCUGCUCAGCCCCAGCAGCCCCUGCAGCCCCUGCAGCCCUUCGCUGGGCCUGCACCUUUGGAGGCGCCUUGUGAGGCCCUGACCCUGCCGGUUCUCUGCCGAAACAGCCGAGGAGACUGAGGCUGGAGAGGGCCACGGUUCUCUGUCAUCACACGCAGGUGGGACCUCAGGGCCCUGUAUCAGGGGGCACCGCCCUCUGUGACGGCCGGGUGCUGGCAGUGCUGGGAGCCCCAAGAGUCCCCAGCCUGGAGAAGCUAAGCCAGCCAAACCCAAGCCAGGGCUGCGCGGCCCGCUGGCUCGGGAACUGGAUGUGGCCACGCCGGAUUCGGAGCGCAGGAACCAGGGUGGGCGUGGUAGCAGGAACUGGACCAGGGCGCUGGGUGGGCCUUGAAUGCCGCGCUCAGCAGGGGUCUGGAGGUGGG
rnacentral:lncRNA from 1 species